CGGGAAAGCGGCCGCAAGGUCGCGCCAGAGGAGGGGCUCGCGACGUAUCAGCUAGUUGGCGGGGUAAUGGCCCACCAAGGCUACGACGCGUAGCUGGUCUGAGAGGAUGGCCAGCCACAUUGGGACUGAGAUACGGCCCAGACUCCUACGGGAGGCAGCAGUGGGGAAUAUUGCGCAAUGGCCGCAAGGCUGACGCAGCGACGCCGCGUGUGGGAUGAAGGCCUUCGGGUUGUAAACCACUGUCGGGAGGGGCGAAUACCUGGCUUCGAAUAGGAGACCAGGGGUGACGGUACCUCCAAAGGAAGCACCGGCUAACUCCGUGCCAGCAGCCGCGGUAAUACGGAGGGUGCGAGCGUUGUCCGGAAUCACUGGGCGUAAAGGGCGCGUAGGCGGCCGCGUAAGUCACAUGUGAAAUCCCGGGGCUCAACUCCGGGGCUGCAUGUGAGACUGCGUGGCUAGAGCUCGGUAGAGGCAAGUGGAAUUCCCGGUGUAGCGGUGGAAUGCGUAGAUAUCGGGAAGAACAUCGGUGGCGAAGGCGGCUUGCUGGGCCGAUGCUGACGCUGAGGCGCGAAAGCGUGGGGAGCAAACAGGAUUAGAUACCCUGGUAGUCCACGCCGUAAACGAUGGGUACUAGGCGUCGGGGGGAGCGACCCUCCCGGUGCCGUCGCUAACGCAGU
rnacentral:rRNA from 1 species